rnacentral:tRNA from 1 species
GGGUCUAUAGCUCAAUGGCUAGAGCCACCGGCUCAUAACCGGUAGGUUCCAGGUUCGAGUCCUGGUGGGCCCA